CUGCAUGUUAAAAAAAAAACAAAACAAUUCUGCUCCUCAUUCCCAUAAGGAGCAUGAAUAUAUAUAUAACAUGCUACAGAAAACAAGGAGUCUUCAGGGCUGCCAGUCUUGCAGUAAAGACUGAGUGGUAGUAUAGGUCUCCUACAUCU
rfam:Aptenodytes forsteri contig69326, whole genome shotgun sequence.